rnacentral:rRNA from 1 species
AUGAACGCUGGCGGCGUGCCUAAUACAUGCCAGUCGAGCGAACGGACGAGGAGCUUGCUCCUCUGACGUUAGCGGCGGACGGGUGAGUAACACGUGGAUAACCUACCUAUAAGACUGGGAUAACUUCGGGAAACCGGAGCUAAUACCGGAUAAUAUAUUGAACCGCAUGGUUCAAUAGUGAAAGACGGUUUUGCUGUCACUUAUAGAUGGAUCCGCGCCGCAUUAGCUAGUUGGUAAGGUAACGGCUUACCAAGGCAACGAUGCGUAGCCGACCUGAGAGGGUGAUCGGCCACACUGGAACUGAGACACGGUCCAGACUCCUACGGGAGGCAGCAGUAGGGAAUCUUCCGCAAUGGGCGAAAGCCUGACAGAGCAACGCCGCGUGAGUGAUGAAGGUCUUCGGAUCGUAAAACUCUGUUAUUAGGGAAGAACAAAUGUGUAAGUAACUAUGCACGUCUUGACGGUACCUAAUCAGAAAGCCACGGCUAACUACGUG